UGUAUGAUACGAUCAGAACACUUUAGGACCU
rnacentral:piRNA from 1 species